GGGUCCGGAAAACUAUGCCCACAACAUAACCAUCUGUUCCACUCUCUCUUUCUGUCUCUCUGAUUCCAUUUCGGAUCGGCCUCAAGCUUCCAGAGCUCUGAACUUGGAAAACAAUCAUGGAGCCAAUCAAUUCUAGCAAGGAUAACGCGGAUCAGGUUUUGGUGGAAGAAAACUCUCAUGGGAUAAAAGUUUUGUUAAACAGGCCUAACCAAUUGAAUGCACUUUCAUUUCAAAUGAUAUCUCGGAUAUUGGAACUCUUCCUUGCCUGUGAGGAGGAUUGUAAUGUCAAGCUAAUAAUUUUGAAGGGGAAAGGGAGAGCGUUUUCUUCUGGUGGCGAUGUUUCUGCUGUAGUCCGUGAUAUUACUAAAGGUAAUUGGAAAUUUGGUGCAAAAUAUUUCCAGAAAGAGUACAUUCUGAACUAUGUGAUUGCUACAUACAGUAAACCUCAGGUUUCAAUUCUUAAUGGAAUUGUCAUGGGAGGUGGGGCAGGAGCUUCAAUACAUGGUAGAUUUCGAGUUGCAACAGAGAAUUCGGUGUUUGCGAUGCCAGAAACAGCUUUGGGACUCUUCCCCGAUGUAGGCGCCUCUUAUUUUUUAUCAAGACUCCCUGGAUUCUUUGGAGAAUAUGUCGGUCUCACAGGUUCUAGGUUGGAUGGUGCUGAAAUGCUUGCAUGUGGUCUUGCAACUCAUUUUGUUCCUUCAGUGAGAUUGUCUUUGUUAGAAGAAGCCCUAUGCAAGGUAAAUGCAAACGAUCCAGCUGUUAUUUCUGCAAUUAUUGAUGAAUUCUCUCAGCAACCUCAUUUGAGAGAAAAGAGCUCCUAUCAUCAGUUGGAUAUCAUUAAUAAAUGCUUCUCUCAAAGAACAAUUGAAGAAAUUAUAUCUGCACUUGAGAGGGCAUCUGUAAACAGCACAGACAAUUGGAUCUCUUCAACAAUUAAGUCACUGAAAAUGGCAUCCCCAACAAGUCUUAAAAUUUCUCUCAGAUCGAUCAGAGAAGGGAGGGUCCAGGGUGUCGGUCAAUGCCUUGUUCGUGAAUACAGAAUGGUUUGUAAAGUCAUUCGAGGAGAAGUCAGCAAGGAUUUCGUUGAGGGUUGCAGGGCUAUACUGUUGGACAAGGAUAACAACCCAAAGUGGGAACCUUCUAAAUUGGAGCUAGUAAGUGAUGAUAUGGUUGAUCAUUACUUCUCUAAGGUGGAUGAUGAAGAUUGGGAGGAUUUAAAACUCCCCACAAGAUCAAACUUGCCUGUACAUGCCAUUGCAAAGCUCUAAGAAUCAUUCCAAAUGUCUCAUGUGUGAGUGCCUCACUGAUUUCUCAACCAUAAUGUGCACGACGGCUGUCUUUCAAAGCCGUAGACGAAGAUGGUGAUCACUACAGCCACCUAAAGGACUUUUGUAGAAACCAAUCCUAGAGUUCAGUGGAGGGUUAAAGUUUUCAAGUCAGAAUAUAUUCACAGGAACUGAUCGCCAGCCGGACGAUGCCACGUGGCGAUGGUCAUUCAAAUAAAUGGAUGUGCAUGGCUAAUCGCAGUUCAACACGUGGCAGUAUGAGGGCAAUAUGGGAAGACAAUUCAAAUCUCCAACCGCAAUCAUACACGUGACAGUUAGCAUUGGUUAUUGUGGAUCUGCAUAGCACUGGAUCAACGAAGAGAUGCAAGAUGACGUGACUUUAACGGUUACUCAUAUAUUUAAAUUCAAAAUUAGGAGGGAAGCCUAACUGAAAGGAAUGGCGUAGUGGAACUGACUAUAAGGCAAUAUGUUCAGCAAUCAUGGGAAGGCUGUUCGACGGUUGGAAGCCUACUUCGACGAUUACUACGGGAGGGUAUAAAUAGUAGAGAAGGCUCCAGAAUAAAGCCUCAGACGCAGAUCAAAAAAUCAGUUUUAUCUACUUUAUUUUCAUUUCCAGUUUUUACAGUUCUUUACAUUUAUGUACUUCAAAUUCCUGUAUUGUAUUUCAUUCAUAGGAGUAGUUU